UACAUUUAGCCACUUUAAAAUAAUUUUUGUCCAAGCCCACACUUUUGGUCCAAAUUUUCUGUCAACUUUAUACUUUCAUCGCGACUGAUCGAGUUCAUCUUCCUUCUUCUCCUACGAGAAACCCAGCCGUUUUCACGUCCUUAUCUUUCUCUGCUGUAACGUUAACGAACCAUAGUUGUGACUCAUUAAGCUUUAUUAUUUAGUGCAGUCACUAUAUAAUUUAUGUCUUCACCUCCAAUUUUUCUGAGAAAAAGACUAAAUAUGACGUAUAAUCUAUCUGCUUGCCGGUCUUGCCAAAGUCAGCAACACUGAAUCAAGGUGGCUCUCAUUUCCCCCCUCUCUAAUUUUGUUUUAUAAUCUAUAUGCAAGCUCUCUGUGUAUUUGGAUAUUGGGUUUUUGGUCAAUAGAUUAGAGAUCUUGGUCAUAUGUGAAAAGAAAACAGUUUACGAUAGUUUGGAGACAUCGAUAGAUCAACUCGCUAAAGGUGGCUACUCAUUAUUCUAAACCUGAAGAUAAUAACAGUUACUCUUGGUUCACCAAAAGAGCAAUUCAAAGGUUUUAUACCAAUAGAAGUUGUCUUAAAAUUGGAGUUUUGGGUUGGACAAUGGAUACCAUGAUCGAAACUGAGACAUUUUCUUCGCCUUUGUUAUCAUUAUGUUUGUUUGAUUUGUGAGCACUCCGGGUGUCCUAGAACGUGUUAUCAACUGAUAGAUCAACUUUGAGGAGGCAUUAACUACUUUUAACCAAUAUUUGAGGAUGCUUAAUCAGGCAGUAGGAAGGCAUCGCUACAGCUCAACAAGGAGAAAGCCAUUGUCCUUUAUGAGCCUGAUCCACACCUGUAGCAAACAAAUUGUUCUACCGCAUCUCAUGAAAAGGUUCAAGUCAUGAUAGUUCUGGAGACAAGGACUACGGUGUUUCAGAAAGAACAAGAGAAAAGACACAAAUCUUGAUACUUUCAGAAUGAAACAUAGCGUGAAGAUGCUAUAAGGUUGAUUGCAGGUGCUUCAAUCACGAACCGUCGAGCCACAUGCCUUAAGUUCGUCGUCCCGUUCUGUUAUGCGCAUAUGUGUCUACUUUUGAGGUUUGUUUUCUUUUUAAUUAAGAAAAGUAGGAUUUGCCAAAGCAGAGACGAUAGAGCUGUUUAUUUGAAUUAGAAAAAUGAUUGGCACAACCUGUUAUCCAUUGACUUAUUUUUUUCCUUUGCUUAAUCGCAUCUAGCUCUAUUUUCUCUCUCUUUUGCUUAAUCACAUCGUACCAUAUUCAGUUUUGCUGCUCUCUGUUGUUGUUCGGUUAAUAUUAUUGAUACUUGACUUCAUCACUGAAGUUGAGAGAGCUUUAAACUCAAUUACUUAGGCAGGUAACUGAGGAGAUAUGAGCCCCUAGAAUCUACAGAAAAUGGAGACCCACCCUCACAUGUCGUUUUAGACAGCCAACUGGUCAUGAUAGUUCAGGUAAAUUUUGUUUUCUCCUCUGUAUCCUCUGAAAAACUUUAUAGUGAUUCUCUAAGGAUUAGUUAGCCGACCUAGCGGAAGCCAAGAUCUCAGUUUUAAAGUCAUGGUUCACCAAGAGCUUUCAUGCAUCUUGAUCUCCACGUCUCGGGUCACCCACGAGUCCUAUUUUGAUUGAUACUCCUGCAGUUUCCAAGUUUGGAGAGAUUGAAAUGAACAUAAGAUUCAAAAUUAGAGGUUAAAGAAAGCUGGUACUUUUUACAAUGUUUGUUCAUGGUGGAACUCCAUCCAUGGCGUUCGCCCACAUGGCUGAGACCUCUACUUACAAAAAAAGAACACUGGGCCAUACGCUCUUGGUUCUUUUUGUUCAUUAUACUUGAGUCUUGAGUUAAUAUGAUUGUUUAGAAGAAAAAAAAUGAUUGUUUAGAGGGACAUCGGUGGAUCAAGAGCUUCAGAAGAUACAAUAGGAUAUACACACUAUGAGUACAAGAAACAUGCGGUGUCGUGAUAGAGCUUAGGGUUGCACAAGUUGUCACAUGUAUCCAUUGGGAGAAGAAAUAUCUCUUAGGAACCCAACAUAUAGAAGCUAUAUCAGGUCAGAGAAACAGCGAAGAAGCAAGAGAGGAGAGAUGCACAUAAAUAGCCAAGAAGAUGCCAGAACUUAACAAAGAAGCAGAGGAGCAAAAGUCAUUUGCUUUAACUGCUCCAGAGAAGCUCAGAAAAGCGAAGGAAGAGUCAGGUGAAGCUAAGACAGGAGUCUAUACGAUAGAAAGUUAGUUAGUUGAGGUGGAACGGGAAAUGAGUGCCGUGAUCGACCAUAGACCAUAGUCUCGACAAUGUGGCCAUUGAAGCCUUCAGGAGAGAAAGAGUCUUGAAACAAAUGGUGCCUUCAGUGGAGUUUCCUCUUGCCUCUUUAUUGUGCUCCUCUUGCCUCUCUAAUGUAUCAAGCUUGGUCUGAAAAUCUCUUAUGGAGUUUCCUCUAAGUCUUCACCGCUUUCUAUAUAAUAGAAAGUUAGUUUUUUUUUUGAAACACAGAAAGUUAGUUAUACAAUUGUUUUUCUUACCAUCGAUGUCUUAGAAUAUAUAUAAAGAAAUCUA